rnacentral:misc_RNA from 1 species
AACGCACAUUGCGCCCUUUGGCAUUCCGAAGGGCAUGCCUGUUCGUGCGUCAUUACACCAAUCAAGCCUGGCUUGGUAUUGGGCGACGGGGCCGCCAGUCGGCGCCCGCGCCUCAAUGACCUUUCGGCGGGACGGACCGUAUCUCAGCGUUGUGGUAAAAAGCCGCUGGCGAGACGGGACGGCCGUGCCGGUAAACCUCAUUUUCUCAAGGUUAACCUCGGAUCAGGUAGGGAUACCCGCUGAACUUAA